rnacentral:lncRNA from 1 species
AAUAUAUACUUAUUUAUUUUAUCACAAAAUACCUUUACAAUGUACCCCUUCAAUUCUUACACAAUAAUAUCACGCAAAGCAAUUACAAUCAUUUAUUUAUUGGAAGCAUCACAAUCUUAUUUAUAAUGCCAACCUAUGACCUCUAUUGUAAAAAAGGUCCGAUGUUUUUUUCUUAUGAAAUGGAACACGCAGAAUUUAGAAGAUAAAAGUAGAUUCGUUACCUCUAUAUCAUGUUAAUUUCAUAACCAGAUCUGGUCGGAGUAUAAUUACCAGUAACUUUAGUUUUCCAAUAUUCAAAUCAGUUAAAAAUAUACAAAAUAAAGAUCUAAAAGAAGGAAAUGUUUGAUGCGCAUAGGCCAACCAUCUUGCAAAUCUCCACUAAGUCAAAAUGUCACAAUGAGGAAUAAAACACAGGCUGUAACAAUAGUUUUUUGAGCGAAUUAACAAAGUUAAAAAUGGAAAUGGGGAAAGUAUCAAAGAGACACCACCCCGACCAACAAGUAGAAGGCGGAGGCCACCAGUGAAUCUUCAACACAGUAUGAAAACCACUCACACGAAGGCGGACUUCACCUGGCCCUAAAAUAAAAUGUGUACUAUUUCAAUGAAAAUGGACGUUACACCAAACUAUAAAAAUGCAGGCAACAGUGGUAUACCGCUGUUCGAAAGUCAUAAAUCGAUUGACAGAAAAAAACAGAGUUACAAAUAUAACCGACGAAACACAUCAACUAUAAGAGGAAAACAACGAAACAGAGAAACACUGAGGUGCAACAAAAACAAACAACAAUGCAACACACACAGAAACGAACUAUAUGAAAACAACUUCCAUUUUGACUUGGUAAAGAUCAUUUUAAGAAUAAAAUAGUGGGUUGAACCUGGUUUUAUGUCUAGCCAAACCUCGUUCUUUUCUGGCAAUGUUAAAUAUAACACUCAAAAUGACAGAUAUCUUAACAAAUAAAUGCAAAAACUUUAACGUCAGAGAAAUACACAAAUCAACAACACAAUAGUACAUUUCAACAUGCUGACCACAGGAUAAAAACGAACACGUAAAACAACUUCGGACAGCACACAAUAAAGAGCUGCACUAUUAGCGCAUGAUACGCCCGUUGUCCUUUAAGCUUGCCUUUAUGCUUUAAUGAUUUUUUUUGGGGUACAUUAAUUAGACUGUUAGUGUUCUCAUUUGAAUUAUUUUACAUUUGUCAUUUCAGGGUCUUAUAUUGCUGACUGUGCGGGCUUUGCUCAUUGUUGAAGACCAUACCGUGACCUAUAGUUGUUAAAUUUCUUUUAAUUUUUGAAAGUAGCUUAAGUCAACAGAUAUAAACAAUUCACCAAAGUUUCAUAAAAUUUGUGAAAGUGUUUAUGAGUAAUUGUCCGAAAAUUGGAAAAUCCCCCCUUUUAAGAAUAAAGAUUCAUAACACGAAAA